CGGCGGACGGGUGAGUAACACGUGGGUAAUCUGCCUUAUACAGGGGGAUAACAGUUAGAAAUGACUGCUAAUACCGCAUAAGCGCACGGGGACGCAUGUUUCUGUGUGAAAAACUCCGGUAGUAUAAGAUGAGCCCGCGUCUGAUUAGCUGGUUGGUGGGGUAACGGCCUACCAAGGCGACGAUCAGUAGCCGGCCUGAGGGGGUGAACGGCCACAUUGGGACUGAGACACGGCCCAAACUCCUACGGAAGGCAGCAG
rnacentral:rRNA from 1 species